UUUUUAUUUGUCAUUCUUUCCCAAAAGUAAUGAAAAUACCUUUGUUUUUGUGUAUGCAUUGAAUUUUCUUUGGUGUGAUGAAAAGGCCCAAUUGAGAUCAAAUAUGGUGUAUAAGCUUCUCCAUUAUUCAACUUUCUAAGAUUGGGAGGUACCUUGUAAAUACAACAAAUACCAUGCUUUGCAUCCUUGAUCUCUUUAGGAAUGUCAAUUAUUAUGUCUUCUAUUUGUGGUUCUGUUUCAGGUAAAGGAGUAGAACUAGUAGCUGAAGAAGCCAUUGAAAAGUCAACAAAGAUGAACCUGAUCAAUUUACAAGAACUCACUUGUUAUUAUUGACACAAAUCUUAAACACAUAUAUGUAGAAAUAACCAAAACAUCAAUUUACCAAAAGAG
rnacentral:lncRNA from 1 species